AGUGAACGCUGGCGGUAGGCCUAACACAUGCAAGUCGAACGGCAGCACAGUAAGAGCUUGCUCUUACGGGUGGCGAGUGGUGGACGGGUGAGGAAUACAUCGGAAUCUACUUUUUCGUGGGGGAUAACGUAGGGAAACUUACGCUAAUACCGCAUACGACCUACGGGUGAUAGCAGGGGAUCUUCGGACCUUGCGCGAUUGAAUGAGCCGAUGUCGGAUUAGCUAGUUGGCGGGGUAAAGGCCCACCAAGGCGACGAUCCGUAGCUGGUCUGAGAGGAUGAUCAGCCACACUGGAACUGAGACACGGUCCAGACUCCUACGGGAGGCAGCAGUGGGGAAUAUUGGACAAUGGGCGCAAGCCUGAUCCAGCCAUACCGCGUGGGUGAAGAAGGCCUUCGGGUUGUAAAGCCCUUUUGUUGGGAAAGAAAAGCAGCAGGUUAAUACCCCGCUGUUCUGACGGUACCCAAAGAAUAAGCACCGGCUAACUUCGUG
rnacentral:rRNA from 1 species